GAUUUGGGUUAGUCAAGCUAACGGUGCGCAUUACUCCCCUCGUUAAUGAUGUUAUUUAAAACUCACUUCCAUUAAUUUCUCGACAGGAGUGUCAGAGCAAUUUUUGUUUCAUGCAGAGGUCUUUUGAUGUCCUUCCAACUUCUUUGUUCUUGAUAUUGUUCUUGUUCGUCUCAUAUUACGAUCUUACGAUAUUAUGGAUCACUGAUCUUUGCUUGCUGACUCGGAUUCAGUAAACAUGGGAGACACAGAGAGUUGCAAUAGCGGAAUUUUGAACUCUGGAUGGAAUCAUCGAUGUCCGAAACAGAGACAGAAGGUCGGAGUUUACAACGAGGUUUUGUGUAGGCUUAAGGAAUUGAAUGUCCCAGAAGCUGUGGUUCCUGGUUUUGAGGACGAUCUUUGGGCGCACUUCUAUCGCCUUCCCGCAAGGUAUGCGUUGGACAUGAAUGUGGAGAGGGCAGAAGAAGUUCUUAUGCACAAGAGGUUACUGGACAUCGCCGGAGGCCCAACUACAGCAAUCGGACCUGCAAUUGAAGUCCGUCUUGUACAGGUUCGUUCUGCUUCUGCUUCUACCGGUGGUUCUAGUAAAUCCCUUCUUUUAAAUUCACAAAGUAAAGUUUGUUCUGAAGAUUCUGGUAUUCCAGGCAGCAUGAGCUUCCAUCCUCCACCUGCCUUCGGUUCGUCAUCUAAUGUGGAACAUAACACCCAGUUCUUACCAGUCCGAGACAGGGAUAACUAUUUGAAUUUUUAUACACAUUAUGCUCGGCCAAUGCAUGAAAUCACAAUUUCAACAAAUGACAAGCCAAAACUUCUGAGUCAGCUGACUUCCUUACUUUCUGAGACUGGGUUGGACAUUCUAGAAGCACAUGCUUUUUCGACAACAGACGGCUAUUCGUUGGAUGUUUUUGUUGUUGGUGGUUGGCCAAUAGAGGAGACGAAGAAAUUAAAACAUGAACUAGCAAAGAAAAUUCAGAAACUCCAGCAACAUCAAUUGAAAGAAAAUGGGAGUCUUCCUACUAGUACUACUGCAAAGCAAGAGCAAACCGAGAUGAACUUUAUCUGGAGAAUUGAUGCCGGGCGUCUGAGAUAUGAAAAGAAAAUUGCAUCUGGACCUUUGACUGAUUUGUAUAAAGGUACAUUCUGCAAUCAAGAUGUAGCUAUCAAGGUUUUAAAGCACGAGAAUUUGAAUGAAAAUAUACAAAGGGAGUUUGCUCAGGAAGUGUAUAUCCUAAGUAAAAUUCAGCACAAAAAUGUAGUUAAAUUUGUUGGCGCUUGUACAAAACCCCCAAACCUGUACCUGGUCACAGAAUACAUGCCUGGUGGAAGUAUGUUCGACUUUUUGCAUAAACAGAAGACCGCCCUUGCUCUUCCAUGUUUACUCAAAGUGGCCAUUGAUGUUUCCGAAGGAAUGAAAUAUUUGCAUCAGAAUAAUAUCAUACAUCGUGACCUUAAAGCGGCUAAUCUUUUGAUAGAUGAGAAUGGGGUAGUUAAGGUUGCUGAUUUUGGUGUGGCUAGAGUGCACAAUCAGUCUGGCAUAAUGACUGCAGAAACAGGAACUUAUCGGUGGAUGGCUCCAGAGGCAUGGAUGGGGCUGUUUAAGGACACGAUAGGCAGCAGUUUUUGAUGUAAUAAGAUGAAUCUAGACAGGUUGGAAUGAGAAUGAUGAUUUUUUUUUUUUUUUUCUGAUAAACAAUACUUAAUGCUAACAUGGUUUCAGUACUGCUUUUGGUUGCCCAUGCGCUUUGCAAAAGAAAAAUGUAACAAUAUCCAAUAAAAUACAAUGGUAGGCACUCUGGUUUUUUUCAUGGAGGCUUUAGUUGCUUAUGUAAAACAACUAAAAAAACUGAUAUUUCUUGUAUUCUACUGCUUACUGUAUUGAUUAUUAUUAAACUUGUGAUUCCCUUGACAUAUGGAAGGUUAUUGAACAUAGACCAUAUGAUCACAAAGCCGAUGUCUUUAGCUUUGCCAUUGUGCUUUGGGAACUGCUCACAGGAAAGCUUCCUUAUGAGCAUUUGUCCCCAUUGCAAGCAGCAGUAGGAGUGAUCCAGAAGG